CCGACCCUGCGGUGUCCGUGAUGAUUUUAUGUGGUCUUGAGCCAAUAUCUGAGAGUCGGGAGCUGCCCGCCCGUGAGGUGAGCCUUGCGGGUGGCCGUGGCACCCACCUGUGAAAGCAGGUUCAAGGCUCCAUGUCACACGGCAUCAGCGGGGUUGGU
rnacentral:other from 1 species